AGUCCCAGCCCCUUUUCGGUCCGCUCGGUUAACGGGCCUCUCGCGGGGAAAAGGGUCCAGAAGAACUUGCAUGCGCAUGCGCCGCCAUACACCGCAUAUAUACGGUGUGACCCGGUCGCUAAGCUCAGAGAAAACUCAAGAAAACUGUCAUGGCGUCUAACGAAUGGAAUAGCGAGUCUUUGAACAACACAUACGAGUCGAAAUUCGGUUCUGUUUUCGUUGAAGCAGUCAGUCAUGCCAUACGAUCAUCCAAAUACAACUUGAUACCGAAGAUUGAACAAAUGGAGGCGAUGUUUCAGCUCUCAAAGGGCAAUGAUGUAUUCGUUAAAUUGAGUACUGGAUUUGGAAAGUCACUGAUCUACAGCUUAUUUCCUUUUAUUUGCGAUUUCUUUCGUGGAGGGGAUAAAUCCAUAGUAGUCUUGAUUUCCCCUCUCAUCUCACUGAUGGAGGAUCAAAUAAAAUCUUUGAAAGAUAACGGAAUUCCUGCUGCGAAAUUGAGCGAUGCGUUGGACUUCGANAGGUACAAAAUAUUGUUACUUUCACCGGAAAGUUUCGAAUCCAAAGAGGUAAAGGACAAGUUAAAGAAAAUAAAAGAAAAUGUCGUCUGUGUUGCCGUGGAUGAGGCGCACUGCAUCGAACAAUGGGGAAGAGACUUUCGUGGUGCCUAUAACCAGCUAAAUGAGGUCCGAGCCCUCCUGCUACCCAAGGUCCCUAUGAUUGCAUUAACAGCCACAGCUAAUGCAAGAGUUAUGCAAUACAUCAUUAACAAAUUAGAUAUGGAAGGUUGCCAAGUGGUCAAAUCAUCGUCAAAUAGAGCAAACAUUUUCUAUGAAGUGCAACAACUACAUGUAAAGAAAUAUGAUGAUUAUGAUAACUUACUGGAAGAGUGUUUUGGCCGUGUUAUUGACCGUAUACUUCAAGAUGAGGCUAAUGCUGAAAAAACUUUGAUAUUCUGCAAAUCUACAAAUGACUGUGCAACNGUGUUUGAAUAUUUUGAAUGCCGUCUCGGACAGAACAUCAAAGUAAACAAUGAACUGUGUGUAAAUAUGUAUGUAAAAAUAACUGAUNAGGAGACAAAGAAAAAUAUUGUACACAGCAUUACUAAUUCUGAAGGAUCACUACGUGUUGUAAUUUGCUCAUCUGCUUUUGGCAUGGGUGUGGACUGUCCAGAUGUUAGAGAAAUAAUACAUUUCUUUUCUCCAUCUUCAUUAAUGCAAUAUUGUCAAGAAUCUGGUCGAGCUGGAAGAGAUGGUCAACCAUCAAAAGCAACUCUGUUAUUCUCUGGGCGUGAAUUUGGACAUUAUAAAGCUCAGUUAACAAAGUCAUCUGCCUCGCGAGUUCAGUUUAACGAGCUUGAAAUUAUGAAAGAUUACUGUCAAAAUGAAACAAUGUGUAGAAGAUUUGUGCUCCUUAAGUAUUUGGAUAGUGUGGCAGAAGCCAAGAAGUCCUGUAAUUCAGUCAAGCAUCAGUGUUGUGACAUUUGUGCUAUUACUUGUAAAUGUUUGUCAUGUGCAUGUAGUACCUUGACUUUACAAGCUGGAAUUUCUGAGUAUGAACAUGUAGCUUUGAAUGAAGCUGAUGCAACAGCAGAUACUUUGCAAGUACGCUUUUCUGAUGAGAACAAAGAUNUUAUUGUCAAAAGCCUUCAUAAAUACCAACAAUCACUUGGAAGUAAUUCAACAGACAGUAUUUUUAGUAGAGAUAGCACAACAGGAUUUACUGAUGUGGUCAUUGACCAAGUUAUACAACAUUGUGAACAAUUAUUUACUGUAGAAGAUGUUUAUAAAUAUGUUGAUGUAUGGUUUGAGGAGCAUGCCAUGGCCAUCUUAGAUGUUUUAAGCAAGUGUAGUGUCACAUAACAAGUCAAGAAUCAGUGUACAUUAGAGGAAAUUUACUGCCAAACCUAUGAAAGAUGGGAAGGCCUUCUGAGGCUUAUGCAUAUAGGACUAUAAGUUAGUGUGAAGU
rnacentral:misc_RNA from 1 species